rnacentral:misc_RNA from 1 species
GAAAUGCGAUAAUUAAUGUGAAUUGCAGAAUUCAGUGAAUCAUCGAGUCUUUGAACGCACAUUGCGCCCCCUGGUAUUCCGGGGGGCAUGCCUGUCCGAGCGUCAUUGCUGCCCUCAAGCACGGCUUGUGUGUUGGGCUUCCGUCCCUGGCAACGGGGACGGGCCCAAAAGGCAGUGGCGGCACCAUGUCUGGUCCUCGAGCGUAUGGGGCUUUGUCACCCGCUCCCGUAGGUCCAGCUGGCAGCUAGCCUCGCAACCAAUCUUUUUAACCAGGUUGACCUCGGAUCAGGUCAGAAUACCCGCUGAACUUAAGC